UGUCCUGCAGCUAGCCUUGACAUCUUUGUUACUGAGUUGCUUCCCAGCACAAGGAGAGCACCACAGAAGCUGUUUUGAAUCACCUCCGUUCAAGGAUAGUCACUCAGCAUAAGCUGGAAUUGUGCAAGGAUGGUUGGAAGAAAGCAGAGAUUUGGAGCACAAUGUCAGCACUUUAGGAAAGAAUUUAAGCAACAAGCCUAGAUGUCCCCAAGGUCUGUGUCUGUUCAGGGGCUGGCUGACUUUGAGCCAUUUGCUGACAAACAGAAUGCACAACGGUUCAGUUCUCCUGCCUCUCCCUUGGGUUUCACCUGCCUAGCACAAAACACAUAGAAAGCUGACAGCUUUCUGAUUACAGUGGGACACUAAGGGAGCUGCCACCAAGUGGGAAUGCUGGAUGUUAGAAGCAAAACCUUAAACAACCUUGGCAUUUGGUGGAGAAACAACACAGAUGGGCAUACCAGAGUAGCUUGCUCACAACAGCCCUUCAUUCCCUACAGCCUUUCAUUCCCAGCAAAGAACCUGGCUGUAAACCAGACCGGGCUGUUCUUGAGUGUAAGUUUACCUUCACAGGAAAUCCAUUGUUUGGGAAGCAAAUGGAAUCACCACACCCUAGAAGGAACCAUUGCUUUGUGCUGCAGUUUCAGUGGUGGGCUGUACCUGCUGGCACUUCCUGGAAAAGCAGAAAUAAAUACGGAUUUUCUUGAUAUCCUUUAUUGGAUACAGACAUGUCUUAGCAAAAAUGUUUUAUAACUUUUCUUACAAUACUACUAAC